GUCACAUUUGACAUUCAAAAUGAGAAUCGCUUUUUCAGAAUACAAGUGGACUCUGACGAAACCGGACAAGAUCUGUUAUUUAAUGUUGGGCGAUAUUUUGAAGUCGAGGACGACAUUCUGUCUAUUCUAGUGGAGGCUAUUCCUGACCAAAUGGACAAAUUUUGGGUUCAAAAAAAUAAAAAAAUCUCAGAUCAAAUCCCAAAUCGUUUUUUGAGCCGACCACUGAAAGGACGACCAGUCCUCUCAUCACUUCCCUUACAACUAAAUUCCUUCGAAAUGUCUCAAACCGCCCUG